UAUAUUUUGUUUUUCAAAAGUGCACGUCGUUAUAUGAAAUAUCAACACAUCAAAGCAAUACUCCAUCCAAUGUUUUGAAAAUCAGACCUGACCGAUCGGUCGGACCGGUCCAAACCUAAAACGGCAGCUUUUAAAGUUCGGUUUUUAGGUAAAACCUCUAACUCAAAAAUCGGCUACAAACUACUAAACUGGCCAAGAACCGGCUAGUCAGACCUAACCAUAACCCAGCCGGUUCAAAUGAAAUGACGCCGUUUCGCUUAGAAAACAUUCUGAAAGCAUGUGCGUGCCCCCCCAAGCCCUAGAGCCCUUUCUCCCUUCUCCUUCCUUCUCCCGGUCCCCAAAGAAAAAUGAAAGCCCUAGCCUCUACCACCGCCGCAUCCGUUGUGCUCAACCCUAGCUUCCAUCGUCGCUGCCAUUCUUCUCAUUGUCUUCGUCCCUGUGGUCCAGUCGUCUCUCCAUGUCCAACCGGUCGCCUCCAACCCCUUUGUACACUCGCCUCACUUAACACCGCCCGUUGGGCUCAGGCACCACCGUCCGUCACGCUUAGGCACAACAGUCCAACAGUCCAACCCCUCUCCAACAGUCAGUCGCUAGUCUUCCUUUCGAAUCCGAAACGACUCUCUUCGUCACCACCAUGCAAGGAGAUCACAUAAAAUGUCACAGAAAGUAAUUUCUGCUCCAUGGAACUCUCGCUCCUUGCGAUUUGCGAUAUGCUCGUCCUUGGUGUUCUUGCUCCUUCUCCCUCAAUCGCUGCUCUGAAAUCCUGAAUCUUUAUUUUUUAAUUAUUUUUUUUGUAAGUAAUUUCUUGCGGAUCUCUGUUUUGAAUUUUCUUAGAUUUUUUGAAUCAAUAUAAUUUAGUUUGUUCGUUCAUUAUCAAUGAUUUAAUUGCAGAGUGAGUUCUAUUACUGGUGAUGAGUAAUGAACAUUAUUGAACUGUUCUUGUUAUGAGUAAUGAUUUUCUUAGGUUCUCUGUUAUGAGUAAUUUAUAUUAUUUUUUUACAGUAAUUAUGGAACUAUUCUUGCUAUUCAGAUGUUGUAUUUUUUUAUUUAAUUAUCUAGUAUUGUGUUUAUUGUUGUUGCUGAUUAUUGGUGUUUGUUCUUGAUAGUUCUGAUUGUUGAUUUUUGUUCACUGCUGAUUUUGUUCUUAUUAUUCUUGAUUGGUAGUAGUGGUGGAGCAGAUGGAGCUUGUAGGGGUAGGGAGCUAAAGUCGCCACAUUUGGAUUUUGGAAAUGCUCCUUUGAGGAUCUUGCAGUAUAUUUUGCUCAUGACUGAUGAUAUUUUCUGCCUUGCAUUAAUUUGAAAAUUUGAUGUUUAUUUGUUGUGCUACUGUUUCUCAUGCUGUUUUUGCAUUCUCAUGCUUUGUGCAGCAUAAUUUUUUGCCUUUUCUGUUUGUGCUUUGAUUAUUUAAUUAAAGAAUUGCUCCUAAUAAAAUUAAAAGAGAUGUUUGAGAGAAAUGAAUGAAUCACCAUUGAGAGUGUGUGAUCCAACAAAGUAGAAGUAGUUGAAGGUUUUUGAAUAUGGCUAUUCUCUUUUGAUUUUGAUGAUUAAUAACAAAUUUUAAUGUCUUUGAUAUUUGGAUAUUUAUUUAGUUUGUAUUUAGAUGAGAUUAUAACACUUUGGUGAUAUAAUAUUUUUAAUUUGGGUAACAUUUUAAGAUUUAUGUUAGAAUAUAA